GAUGAACGCUGGCGGCGUGCUUAACACAUGCAAGUCGAACGGUGAACGAGGGAGCUUGCUCCCUCCGGAUCAGUGGCGAACGGGUGAGUAACACGUGAGCAAUCUGCCCUGGACUCUGGGAUAAGCGUUGGAAACGACGUCUAAUACCGGAUACGAGACGCGAAGGCAUCUUCAGCGUCUGGAAAGAACUUCGGUCCAGGAUGAGCUCCCGGCCUAUCAGGUAGUUGGUGAGGUAACGGCUCACCAAGCCUACGACGGGUAGCCGGCCUGAGGGGGUGACCGGCCACACUGGGACUGAGACACGGCCCAGACUCCUACGGGAGGCAGCAGUGGGGAAUAUUGCACAAUGGGCGCAAGCCUGAUGCAGCAACGCCGCGAGAGGGACGACGGCCUUCGGGUUGUAAACCUCUUUUAGCAGGGAAGAAGCGAAAGUGACGGUACCUGCAGAAAAAGCACCGGCUAACUACGUGCCAGCCGCCGCCGUAACAC
rnacentral:rRNA from 1 species